ensembl:lncRNA
ACAUGGAUAAAAGGGUGAGUUUUCAUGGAAAACAUGAAAUUGUCUGGAUGACCCCACACCUUUGAAUGGAAGGUCAACUUUCACUUGGUACAGUUUGUCUUUACAAACUGAUCUUUACAUAUAAAAAGAGAAGAGAAUACGAUAAUUAUUUACAUCCCCCUGCAUUUUGUGGAGCUUUUUUGGUACAAAGUGUGUCUCUGUUGCAGAAAAUCUAUUUCAAGCAUGUUUUUUCUUUUUUGCAUGUUUUAGGGAGCUAAGAUGUGUAGAAAUGACAGCCAGGCACUGGAAAUAAUCAGGAUUCCUGUCUGCAGCCUUGGAGGCUUCGUGGAAGACGGACAGAAGCACCGAGAGACUUGGAGCUGGGGUUCCCAGUUUUCUUUUUGGUAAAAUGAAGUGUUCAGCUUUGUUGUGAGUUUGAUUUUUUUUAACCCUGCUCACCCCUGAUCCAAAAGAGGCUGCAUAGCUUUGUAACUGAGUCCUAGGCUCUUUUGAACAUCGCUGGCAUUGUCGGCUUUUAUAUAUUUCUAGGAAGUCGGAUUCUAAAUUUUCUCACACGCAGGGCAACAAGAACGCGAGAGUCAGAGUUCGGUUUAAAGACUUUAUUACAACACAAGCAAAUCCAGGAAUUAAGUGAAAAUGCUGAACUCACAGAAGCGAAGCUACAGGAAACUGAAGUGCUGCUAAACUAUAAAGCAACUAGAAAAUAGAUAAACAAACGAUGUUAGAGUUUAUUUUUUAAGGCACUGCCAGCUGAACACUGAAACUGAUGUCACAUGUAUCA